AGAUCAGGAAGUAAAGCUGACAAGAUAGCUAGCACCAGAGCUUGCUACUAUCUUCAGGAAAAUCGCUAUAAACACUUAUAAAAGGUUGUGUGCUAAUUGCAAUAUUGGCCGGGACGCGCCGAGUAGCAGUGCAAAAGGGGAGAGGUGAUAUGUUACUUGCCAAAUGGGAAGCAGCUACCGUUCAACACACUGGAAGAAGUAAGUUAAAUUGCCUUUAAUGUACAAUAUUACACUGAUUUAAAAAUCUACUUGUUCAAAUGUAGGUUGGAAAGUUUUAUUUUCUUUUUUAGCAAGCCACUACUGUUGUCUAUUGUGUUUUAAUAAUCUUUUCUAUGUUUUCUGGUAGUGCAGUUUUUGGUUGUUGGUGCAAGUCAGGGUACCCGGCACCUAGUAGGAUCAACAUUCAGUGUUUGGGACAGAAGAAAGCAAAUAGCAGUAUUCACCUUCGCUCGCCAAUCUCAGUCUUAUUGUUGUUAAUGCUGAAAAUUCCAUGUCCAGUCAGGAAUAAAGACCCACAUAAAAUGUUAUGCUUGGUCCAGUCCUACUGUCCAAGCUUUAGUUCUACCCGCCCCAAAGGUAGAUCCAAAGACCUGCCAUAGAACAUGUUGAUACCCAGGUGUAGGACUCAAAGCUGCCAUAAUUUACUCCUUAAGUCCCAAAAUCUCUCCAUCUUCCUCCUGCAAAUCGGACCACAACACCAUAUUCCCAAUCACAACCCUGUUAUUGCUUCUGUUGAAAGUGGACACUCUGGUAUCAUCUCCUAACUAUGUACUCCUAACUAUGAUGGUUACCUCAAAGAAUGGAACUUAAACUUGAGUGACAGCAGCUUUGAAGGUUUUUUUUUAUAUACUCAGAAUGAUAAAUAUCUACUUUCCACCUCAAAGCCUCACCGCAAACAUGAUAUUUUACCUGGUAUUGCACCCAAGAUUAUCUGAAGCAUCUUACAUCACUUCAUCUCAACAUGUCAUCAGAGUGUUGCUGUUAGAUAUCAUUAGGAACAUUUCACAUUUCCCAAAGCCUCAACAACAUCUGGAUGAAGUCAGCCUAUGUUACAUCUUUGACAAUGACCUCCCAGAUAAUUGGAGGCACUGGUUUGACUAAAGGUCAAGUGGUUAGCGCGCAGGCCACACAGCUAGGAGACCCGAGUUAGAUUCCACCAUUGGCCAUUUCUGUGUGGAGUUUGCAUGUUCUCCCCGUGCAUGCGUGGGUUUUCUCAGGGGAAUCCGGUUUCC